GCAAGCUUGAGUCUCGUAGAGGGGGGUAGAAUUCCAGGUGUAGCGGUGAAAUGCGUAGAGAUCUGGAGGAAUACCGGUGGCGAAGGCGGCCCCCUGGACGAAGACUGACGCUCAGGUGCGAAAGCGUGGGGAGCAAACAGGAUUAGAUACCCUGGUAGUCCACGCCGUAAACGAUGUCGACUUGGAGGUUGUGCCCUUGAGGCGUGGCUUCCGGAGCUAACGCGUUAAGUCGACCGCCUGGGGAGUACGGCCGCAAGGUUAAAACUCAAAUGAAUUGACGGGGGCCCGCACAAGCGGUGGAGCAUGUGGUUUAAUUCGAUGCAACGCGAAGAACC
rnacentral:rRNA from 1 species